GUGUGAGGUGGGGUCCCGUCGAGGCGUCAGCGCUCGUACACCCUGGCACUACUCUGCAGGUCAGCCACCUGUGCCACAGGUUCCACAGAAGUGGUUCGAAAACCUCGCUCAAAAAACCAAGCUUCCGCCGAUCGGAAUCGCAAGGCACGGUCAUCGGAACUGAGGAGUUGCCAUCGUGGAGGACUGAUGGGUGAACGACGAUCGAAAGAAGAGCAGGGACGUGAAGUUGCUACUUUUGCUUGCAGUCUGUACCCAAUCUGACGGUGGCAAAGGCCGAAAUUCGUGUCUUCAACUCUGCUGGCUUUGCUCAUCUUCAGAUCUACAGGACUUCAACAGCAAACAGGAAUAUAAUCUGGUGAGAAAUGGGCUAGGACGCUACCACGUCUUCCCGGAGGUCGCAGGGACAGCGACGUAUCCAGGCACUUCAAUGCGGAGCAAGGCAAGUUGUGGUCAAGGACGAAAGGUAUAACCGUCCGGCCAAAUUUUCAUGUUUCGACUGAUGACCGUAACAAGUGUACUAGGCACGUAAUGGUCAACAGCGGAUAUAUGC